UAUGAGUGUAACCCGUAGCUUGUUGCUAGCUAUCAGCCUGAGGCAUGGGAACUUUUACAGAGAUACAGAGGGAAAACAGCCUUUUUUGGGCCACACACACACACACACACACACACACACACACACACACACACACACACACACACACACACACACACACAGAGAAACAUGUAUAUUUCCCCUCAGAAAGAUAAUUCUCCAGGAAGGAGAGGGGGCGGUGCUGAGGCGAUCGGUGGGACUCCAGCAGAACGAGAGCGGGGGGGGUCGAGGGGUUCUAUUCCAGAAUGGAAUGUUGCAUUUCCUGCUGGUGUCCGAACACGCGUUUCUCGGUUUUCCCUUUACUUCCCUGUCGCCUGUUCCUCUGGACGGCGGCCCCGUUCCCCGUUCCCCGUUCCCCGACUUGUCUUCUCUACCUUUCAUGGCGGUUCCCCCUCGCAAUUCCCACUUUUAUUCUCUCUCUCUCUCUCUCUCUCUCUCUCUCUCUCUCUCUCUCUCUCUCUCUUCUCUAUCUCCGUUUCACAUUCCAUGUCUCCUGCUCUCUUUCCUCUGACCUUCACUACAGUUUUCUUCCUUCUGCUUUUGCCCCCGUGUGUGUGUGUGUGUGUGUGUGUGUGUGUGUGUGUGUGUGUGUGUGUGUGUGUGUGUGUGUGUGUGUGUGUGUGUGUGUGUGUGUGUGUGUGUGUGUGUGUGUGUGUGUGUGUGUGUGUGUGUGUGUGUGUGCGUGCGUGCGUGCGUGCGUGCGUGCGUGCGUGCGUGCGUGCGUGCGUGCGUGCGUGCGUGCGUGCGUGCGUGCGUGCGUGCGUGCGUGCGUGCGUGCGUGCGUGCGUGCGUGCGUGCGUGCGUGCGUGCGUGCGUGCGUGCGUGCGUGCGUGCGCGCGCGCGCGCGCGCGUGCGUGCGCGCGCGCGCGCGCUCGUGUUUAUCAUUUGUCUUUCUCCUCUGACAGCUCUACUCCGGCCUGUUCUGCUUCCUGCUAUGCUCUUUUUUAAUUCCCUCUUCAGACGGGACAUCCCAGGUGUGUGGAUAAUGAGCCGUAGCUCAACACCAUUACGCCAGCAUUGAGGUGGACCGAUGAUAAGUAACAGAUCGGAAAAAAGCUGCUUUAUCCGAAGGUCGCUUAUGCUAUCAUCUUAUGCAUCCCUCGCUCUAUCUGUGAGUUGAGGGGCUGAUUCACCCUCUUUAUUCUGUUACGAUGAGAUGAUAGUUAGGGCUUGGUAGUUGCAGGUGUCUUCUUGCUUCACGGCCAGGGUUUCUUAGCAGAAUGUUUUGAAAUGGCCACCGACCAAAUAUUAGUAGUACUGACGGUAUAAGCAGCGAACGUUCCGUUCCAUGUUGUUAAUUUAUGAAUGCCUUAAGGGGUAGUAGUGGUCUGCAUGCUCCCCUUCCAUGGCCACAUCUCUGGCAUAUCCAAGGUGUGAAAGGGUCGUCACGGUGAUCCCACGGUGAGUCCGGAACACUGUAGAGUGUGAGUGUGAGUGUGAGUGUGGAGGAUGGAGAGUUUGAUGGCUAAUUAAAGGAACUCCCUGGCCGGCCAAGACUGUUAUGUCUGGACUAAAUGGUUUCCAUGGGGACGAGGGUGGCAGGCUGGGUCCCUACACGCCAGAAGCGGCUAAACGGUCGGAGCCCUCGGUCGCCCAGCAACAAGGACGAGUUCAGUAGGUCAGAGGUCAUCAUAUUCAUGGCUGCACGGCUUUCGGUCCUGAAUGUGGAACGAAGGAAGGACUCAUGGUCGCCAUGAUGCGAAAUGAAUGAUGAGGUGACAACAGGGCAUUUUAGUUUCGGUCCUGAAACUAAAGGAUUUUCAAACCCACUAUGUGGUUUGAAAAUAAUCUAGCGGUAUGUGAUCCCCCAUGCUUGUUCCCAGAAUGGGGCAGGUUUCAAGGUGAUGGGUAUGUACUGACCCAGUGCCUUUGAGCAAUCGUCCUUUGUCCAACGUGUACAGGUUGGACAGAGGACGUCCGGUGUCGGUGACGUCCGGAGUGUCACAGCGUUUGUGGUAGCUGUCUCAAACCAGUACACAAACAGACCAGUAUACAAACAGACCAGUAUACCAGUUGCGUAACCUAACCCAGGGACAAACCCCUGUGGAAUCAACCGAUUACGUAGGCGUCCCUUCCCCUUCCCGGAGUCAGAAUGCAUCCCCUCAUGCAUUCAUAUCUCUUUCACUUUGUUGUUACGGAUGGUUUUGUCUGUCUCGUUACCACCCUGUCUAGUUAUUGUUUAUUGUUAAUUUUUUCAUCGUAGGGCACGCACCUUAGAUACAAAAACAGAAUUCCUUGUACGUGGAAACCUACAUCAUGGCACUAAACAUCUUUGAGUCUGAUUCUGAUUCUGUCGCGGCGGGGGCCACGGUUGCUAGGACCCGGUCGUAUUUACACCCCAAACUCAACCCCGUGUCCCAGGGCCUCGCUGGACUCCCCUGAGCGCCGCCCGGGCCGCGCCGCGCCGCGCCUUGUAACACUAUAUCCCCGGCUCAAUACCCUGGAUCCAUCCUCGAUACCGGGACUCACUAACACAAACACACAUCUGACUCUGGUUUGGCUGUCGUCGUCGUCCUCCUGAGCUCCUCUUUAUUCCCGGGGUUUCCGCCGUCCUUGCGGUGGAGUCGGCCCGUGCCCGGGGUCCGAUCAGACCAGAGCUCAGGGACGCUUCGAUUGGCACCCGUAGCGUUGAGUAGCGCUUUUGUUAUGCUAUUAUGGAUGUGAAACCAAACUAAAGUAAUGACCUUAUUAUUAUCAUUAUUAUUAUACUUAUUUUUUUAUCAUCAUCCUCCUCUUCUGAUCCCUGUCAUUCAAUAUGGUGCAUUACUUGCACUUUUGCUGUGAUUUUGUUAUGUUUACUGUGUCUUAAAUGUCUUGUCUGUCAUGUGUGGAGAAGGCCAUCUCACUUAACUGUGCUCAAAUCUACCUCCGGGUAUAAAUACAAAGUUAUCUAAUCUAAUCCUUUCUGUCGUGUGGUCCGGCACCACGAAACUCUUACCUUCCACAUCGGGACACCUGGGACUUCCUGUCGAAGACCCAGACGGUAGCGCUAACAAAAAACUAGCGUAGGAGAGGUGAGGCGUCUUUCUCCCAGUGAAUAUCCGAAAAAUAUGCGUCUGAGGCUCCGCCCACGCUCGGACCGCCAGAUAGUUUGCAGCUGACUGUGGCUGGGUCGGUUACUUCCACGUCGGCCCAGUGUCUUGAAAAUGCGGGGGAAGUAGGCUACUUUGACUGUGUGUCACCGUUUCAACACCAACUCUGUACAAACAUUGGACGGGUUUCAUAAAUAUUCAGCUCUUUAUUUAUUCCUACUGUAUGUGUAAUGUCUCUUGUGUGAAGGGACCUUACAAUUGGGAAUCCCGUGAAGAUUCAUUCACAUUUUUUGGAUUUCGGUAGUAGGAAAACUUGCAGCACUGAACGUUUGCUUAGGCUGAAAUCCCCUGAACGUUUUUGUGCUGCUCUGUGGUCGCUGGUCUCUGUGCUGUCUCUGCGCUGGUCUCAGCUGGUCUCCGCACGCGUUGCUGCUCUCAGUUUGUCGCUGCUCUCAGUUUGUCGCUGCUCUCAGUUUGUGUCUGUGGUCGCUGGUCUCAGUUCGUGGCUGGUCACUGGUCCCAGUUUGUGGCUGGUCGAUGGUCUCAGCUUGUGUUUGUGGUCACUGGUCUCCGCGUGUGUCACUGGUCUGUGGUCGCUGGUCUCAGUUUGUCGCUGGUCUCAGUUUGUUUUGCAUCUGUGGUCGCUGGUCUCAGUUUGUGUCUGUGGUCGCUGGUCUCAGUUUGUCGCUGGUCUCAGCUUGUUUGUGGCACUGGUCUUUGGUCGCUGGUCUCAGUUUGUCGCUGGUCUCAGCUUGUGUCACUGGUCUGUGGUCGCUGGUCUCAGUUUGUCGCUGGUCUCAGCCUGACACUGGUCUGUGGUCGCUGGUCUCAGUUUGUCGCUGGUCUCAGCUUGUUUGUGGCGCUGGUCUCAGUUUGUCGCUGGUCUCAGCCUGACACUGGUCUGUGGUCGCUGGUCUCAGUUUGUUGCUGGUCUCAGCUUGUGUCUCCGCUCUGUGUUCGCUGGUCUCCGCGUGGGUCACUGGUCUGUGGUCGCUGGUCUCCGCUCUGUGGUCGCUGGUCUCUGCGUGUGUCACUGGUCUGUGGUCGCUGGUCUCCGCGUGUGUCACUGGUCUUUGGUCGCUGGUCUCCGCUCUGUGGUCGCUGGUCUCCUCGCGUGUUGCUGGGAGACCAUUAGAGAUGAGUGAGAGCUGGUAACCUCAGUAGACGGCCUGCAGUCUGAGGGUCUGAACGCAUGGUUACUCUAUAUAUGGAGCUGUACGGGGCGACGGCAUCGCGCGGCGGGUUCGGCUGUCACGGUUGAAUCAUCAUAGGUGUGUGUGUGUGUGUGUGUGUGUGUGUGCCUGACUAUGCUGGGUCUCGCUAGCUUUAUCCAUAGAUCAGCCUAGCCUUGUGGACUAGUUAACUCCAAGUAUCUAGAAAUGUUCACAUCUGUUAGCUACACAGAUUCCCAGAUGUUCUACAACAGCAAUUAUUAUUUUUAUAUUAAUAAUGAUUCAUUCAUUAGCUAGGGCGCAUCUCUGACAAGAAGGCCCGAGAAUUGGAAAAAGUCCAUGAAAGCCGAGUACAUUUCUGGCUUUUGCACUGAGAGAAAGCAUACAAGCCUAAUGAGACAUAAUGAUUUUACCUACAGACGAUUCACAGGCCACCUAAAACGCUGAAGAGCUGUGUGUGUGUGUGUGUGUGUGUGUGUGUGUGUGUGUGUGUGUGCGUGUGCGUGUGCGUGUGCGCGCGCGUGCGUGACUAUGUGUGAAAUGUUGCCGUUUGAGGAACCAAAAAACAAAGAGUGAAGUUGGGCACCGGGACAACAAUGAGCAGGUAUGUGGGCGGGACCCAGUUCUGGAUGGGCGCCAGAUUCACCUGUCCCUCUGUGCCCAACCCCUCGGCCCCUCCCUUUCCCACCUGUCUGGGCGGGGGAGGGAGGUGGGGGGGGGGGUGUUGCAGACGGUUCACUGAGACCGCAGUUGUGCCUUGCUCGUAGGCUGAGGAGAAGGGAGGAUUUGGAUUGGGAUUCUUCUCAGGGUUUAUUCCUCGGUGCACUGGGUUUUUAAGGAUUUUUGCCAGAAUUCCCUGACAAAGGAUCGCAGGUAGGAGCUUGGAAACGUGCUGGACUAACAGUUUUUUUGUAUUCAAGAGAAGACGUUUGAAUGACCGUUUGUGAGGCAGGGACGUAGCUGCUCUGCUUUGGGGUCAGUUGUUUGAUGUUUAUUGACUGGAAGGGCCGGCCUCUGUAUCUCUCUUACUGCUUGUCUAUUAUCUCUCUGCCUGCGUGCCUGUCUGUGUACUUGCCUGGCUGUCUGCCUGCCCGCCUAUCUAUCCGU